GACGAACGCUGGCGGCAGGCUUAACACAUGCAAGUCGAACGCAUCGCAAGAUGAGUGGCAGACGGGUGAGUAACGCGUGGGAACAUACCCUUUUCUACGGAAUAGCUCUGGGAAACUGGAAUUAAUACCGUAUACGCCCUACGGGGGAAAGAUUUAUCGGGGAAGGAUUGGCCCGCGUUGGAUUAGCUAGUUGGUGGGGUAAAGGCCUACCAAGGCGACGAUCCAUAGCUGGUCUGAGAGGAUGAUCAGCCACAUUGGGACUGAGACACGGCCCAAACUCCUACGGGAGGCAGCAGUGGGGAAUAUUGGACAAUGGGCGCAAGCCUGAUCCAGCCAUGCCGCGUGAGUGAUGAAGGCCUUAGGGCUGUAAAGCUCUUUCACCGAUGAAGAUAAUGACGGUAGUCGGAGAAGAAGCCCCGGCUAACUUCGUGCCAGCCGCCGCGGUAAUAC
rnacentral:rRNA from 1 species